rnacentral:rRNA from 1 species
UACGAAGGGGGCUAGCGUUGUUCGGAAUUACUGGGCGUAAAGCGCGUGUAGGCGGGUCUUUAAGUCAGGGGUGAAAUGCCAAGGCUCAACCUUGGAACUGCCUUUGAUACUGGCGAUCUCGAGUCCGGGGAGAGGUGAGUGGAACUGCGAGUGUAGAGGUGAAAUUCGUAGAUAUUCGCAAGAACACCAGUGGCGAAGGCGGCUCACUGGCCCGGUACUGACGCUGAGGUGCGAAAGCGUGGGGAGCAAACAGG